rnacentral:rRNA from 1 species
GAUGAACGCUGGCGGCGUGCCUAAUACAUGCAAGUCGAGCGAACAGACGAGGAGCUUGCUCCUCUGACGUUAGCGGCGGACGGGUGAGUAACACGUGGAUAACCUACCUAUAAGACUGGGAUAACUUCGGGAAACCGGAGCUAAUACCAGAUAAUAUAUUGAACCGCAUGGUUCAAUAGUGAAAGGCGGUUUUGCUGUCACUUAUAGAUGGAUCCGCGCCGCAUUAGCUAGUUGGUAAGGUAACGGCUUACCAAGGCAACGAUGCGUAGCCGACCUGAGAGGGUGAUCGGCCACACUGGAACUGAGACACGGUCCAGACUCCUACGGGAGGCAGCAGUAGGGAAUCUUCCGCAAUGGGCGAAAGCCUGACGGAGCAACGCCGCGUGAGUGAUGAAGGUCUUCGGAUCGUAAAACUCUGUUAUUAGGGAAGAACAAAUGUGUAAGUAACUAUGCACGUCUUGACGGUACCUAAUCAGAAAGCCACGGCUAACUACGUG